rnacentral:ncRNA from 1 species
GCGAACAUGUUGAUCAGAAGGAGUAGCCUAAGAAACUUUUUCAAAAGAGAGCAGUCGGCAGCUGAAAAGAUUGUGUAAAAGUCUUUGGUGAAGACAUCUGUGAGUGUUACUUUGAAGAUUGUACAAACAAUUAGUAGGAGUAACCGGCCAUCACCGUUAUGAUACAAGUGGUUUUUUGAAAAGAACAAUUUGGGUGGUACCGCGGAUAAUCCGUCCCUUUU